rnacentral:rRNA from 1 species
AGCAGCCGCGGUAAUUCCAGCUCCAAUAGCGUAUAUUAAAGUUGUUGCAGUUAAAAAGCUCGUAGUUGAAUUUCGGGGUUAGUAAGUUGGUCGUGCCACUGGUAUGUACUGGCUUUACUGAUUCCUCCUUCUUGUAGAACCGUAAUGCCAUUAAGUUGGUGUUGCGGGGAAACAGGACUGUUACUUUGAAAAAAUUAGAGUGUUUAAAGCAAGCUAACGCUUGAAUACAUUAGCAUGGAAUAAUGAAAUAGGACGUUCGAUCCUAUUUUGUUGGUUUCUAGGAUUGACGUAAUGAUUAAUAGGGAUAGUUGGGGGCAUUAGUAUUCAAUUGUCAGAGGUGAAAUUCUUGGAUUUAUUGAAGACUAACUACUGCGAAAGCAUUUUGCCAAGGAUGUUUUCAUUAAUCAAGAACGAAAGUUAGGGGAUCGAAGACGAUCAGAUACCGUCGUAGUCUUAACCAUAAACUAUGCCGACUAGGGAUCGGAUGAUGUUAAUUUUUUUCAAUGACUCAUUCGGCGCC